UCGGCCUCCCAAAGUACUAGGAUUACAGGCAUGAGCCACCGUGCCUGGCCUAUCUUUUCUUUUUAAAUGAAAGUCAAGGUGUUGCCCUCUCCAAAUUCCCAUUGAGGAGACAAGUUGGAUGUAAGUCAAGGAUGCCUGCGGCGAGCUUCUCAGUGAAAGAUGAAUUACCACCAAUAAGGCACGGUUAAAAGAAUGGAAUUUCCAAAUUAGAUGAAACUCGCUUUGUGAAGAACAAAUGUUACCGGAGCCAUCCAAGGUCACCGUGUGUCAGUUUGAACACUGGAAAUGGCUCAUUUGAGGCGCGCACGCAAAUCGUUCGCACUCCGCAUUAUCUGCGUUUGCAUGUAGAGCUCCUUGCUUCCCAGCUGUGAGUCGUGUGGGCCUCUGCGAAAGAUGCCAUGUGGUCACAUCGACCUUCAGUAGGUGGGAAAACAUACCCUGCCCAUUCUAACAGGAGAUGGGCAAAGUCAGAUGCCACAGGAUGUGGGUGUGCAGUUGUAAUGCCAGGAGGGCUUGAAGAAGUGUGGACACUGCUUCAAUCUACUAUGGCGAGGUAGGAAGGGCACACAACUGCUUUUAGUCUUUAUAACAACUUUCUAAAUUGUGCAUGCUGGUAUUUAUGUAAACUAUUAAAGCAACAUAUAAUUAUUUCAUAAUUAAUAAUCAAAGUCAUUUUAUUCCUAUCAUAGAGGUGGAGAAUUUGAGCAAGUUAAAGAUUAUAGCGUAGGCUGCCGGUGGGACUGCAAACUAGUACAACCUCUAUGGAAAUUAAUAUGGAGAUACCUUAAAGAACCCAAAGUAGA